GCGUUACGGAAAACGCGCAGUGGUAAAAGUGGCUUGUGGAGAGGCAGCUGGUGUGUCGCAGGUUUGUGGAAGGGCUGAGUCUCAGAGAGCGGCUGCAGGUCACUGGGAAGCAUGGGACAAGACCUGAAUGAUAACUUCUUGCAAGCCCUAACAGGGAGAGGAGCAGCAAAUUGCACUGGAAGAGUUCCCAUGAGCACCUGUGUGAUGAUGAUAAAGCUUUUUCCCUCAGAAUCUAUCCAUUAAAUGUAGAGCAGCGAAGUUUGGUUUUUAUGGAAAAUAUCUAUGAACAAUGGGGAAAGGAUGAAACCUUAGUAUGGCAAAAGAGCACUGGACAUUCAAUAAAUAGUAACAUUUUCCAAAGUGAGCUGAAUGGAGACAGAGUGGAG
rnacentral:lncRNA from 1 species